GUUAGGAAUAUUGGACAAUGGGCGAAAGCCUGAUCCAGCCAUGCCGCGUGAACGAUGAAGGCCUUCGGGAUGUAAAGUUCUUUAGCCGAUGAUUAUAAUGACUGUAGUCGGAAAAUAAGCCCCGGCUAACUUCGUGCCAGCAGCCGCGGUAAUACGAAGGGGGCGAGCGUUAUUCGGAAUCACUGGGCGUAAAGCGUGCGUAGGCGGUUUUGUAAGUUAGGAGUGAAAGCCCAGGGCUCAACCUUGGAAUUGCUCUUAAAACUGCAAGGCUAGAAUCUCGGAGAUGAUAGCGGAAUUUCCAGUGUAGCAGUGAAAUGCGUAGAUAUUGGAAGGAACACCAGUGGCGUAAGCGGCUAUCUGGACGAGUAUUGACGCUGAGGCACGAAAGCGUGGGGAUCAAACAGGAUUAGAAACCCCGGUAGUCC
rnacentral:rRNA from 1 species